UGAAUUACGUUGAUAGAGCGCAGUAGCGGCUUUGUCCCUGUUACAGAAAGUCAGGGGUUGAUGGAACCUGAUACAUACAAGGGCUGCGAAUUACACUCUGGAGUACUUGGGUAAUGCCAAGCGGAAUGGCAAACGAUAUUUUGCCGAAAGCGGUAUGGACAGCGUGUAAGCUGGUUGUCUGUGCAAGUUGGGUGGUACCACGGUUAUGAUAAUCGUCCCUAUG
rnacentral:ncRNA from 1 species